UACGAAGGGGGCUAGCGUUGCUCGGAAUUACUGGGCGUAAAGCGCACGUAGGCGGCUUCUUAAGUCGGUGGUGAAAUCCUGGAGCUCAACUCCAAAACUGCCUUCGAUACUGGGAAGCUCGAGUCCGGGAGAGGUGAGUGGAACUGCGAGUGUAGAGGUGAAAUUCGUAGAUAUUCGCAAGAACACCAGUGGCGAAGGCGGCUCACUGGCCCGGUACUGACGCUGAGGUGCGAAAGCGUGGGGAGCAAACAGG
rnacentral:rRNA from 1 species